AGCAGCCGCGGUAAUUCCAGCUCCAAUAGCGUAUAUUAAAGUUGUUGCAGUUAAAAAGCUCGUAGUUGAAUUUUGGAUUCUUCCAAUUGGUCCAUCUUUUAGAUGAGUACUGGUUGUGUGGGGUCUAUCCGCCUGGUGAUACGUAAUGUCCUUUAUUGGAUGUUUCGGGUAGUCAGGACCUUUACCUUGAAAAAAUUAGAGUGUUUAAAGCAGGCUUAUGCCGGAAUACAUUAGCAUGGAAUAAUAGAAUAGGACGAAGUUGUUUUAUUUUGUUGGUUUCUAGGACAACCGUAAUGAUUAAUAGGGAUAGUUGGGGGCAUUAGUAUUCAAUUGUCAGAGAUGAAAUUCUUGGAUUUAUUGAAGACUAACUACUGCGAAAGCAUUUGCCAAGGAUGUUUUCAUUAAUCAAGAACGAAAGUUAGGGGAUCGAAGACGAUCAGAUACCGUCGU
rnacentral:rRNA from 1 species